GUGAGGAAUAUUGCGCAAUGGAGGCAACUCUGACGCAGCCAUGCCGCGUGCAGGAAGAAGGCGCUACGCGUUGUAAACUGCUUUUAACCGGGAAGAAACCCCAGGACGUGUCCUGGGUUGACGGUACCGGAGGAAUAAGCACCGGCUAACUUCGUGCCAGCAGCCGCGGUAAUACGAAGGGUGCAAGCGUUAUCCGGAUUCAUUGGGUUUAAAGGGUGCGUAGGCGGGGUGGUAAGUCAGUGGUGAAAUCCUGCGGCUCAACCGUAGAAUUGCCAUUGAUACUGCCAUUCUUGAGUAGGCUCGACGUGGGCGGAAUGUGCCGUGUAGCGGUGAAAUGCUUAGAUAUGGCACAGAACACCGAUAGUGAAGACAGCUCACGAGGGCCAAACUGACGCUGAGGCACGAAAGCGUGGGGAUCGAACAGGAUUAGAAACCCGAGUAGUCC
rnacentral:rRNA from 1 species